GAACUUAAGCAUAUCAAUAAGCGGAGGAAAAGAAACUAACAAGGAUUCCCCUAGUAACUGCGAGUGAAGCGGGAAAAGCUCAAAUUUAAAAUCUGGUGGUCCCGAGUUGGCUGCCCGAGUUGUAAUCUAGAGAAGUGCUUUCCGCGCUGGACCGUGUACAAGUCUCUUGGAACGGAGCGUCGUAGAGGGUGACAAUCCCGUCUUUGACACGGACUGCCAGGGCUUAUGUGAUGCGCUCCCGAAGAGUCGAGUUGUUUGGGAAUGCAGCUCAAAAUGGGUGGUAAAUUCCAUCUAAAGCUAAAUAUGGGCGAGAGACCGAUAGCGAACAAGUACCGUGAGGGAAAGAUGAAAAGAACUUUGAAAAGAGAGUUAAACAGUGCGUGAAAUUGUUGAAAGGGAAACGAUUCAAGUCAGUCGCGUUGGCCGGUAAUCAACCCUUGCGAAGGCGGGGGCUUACUUUCCGUCUGACGGGUCAGCAUCAAUUUUGACCGUCAGAUAAAGGUUUGGGGAACGUGGCAUCUUCGGAUGUGUUAUAGCCCCUUGUCAGAUGUGACGGUUGGGAUUGAGGAACUUGGCACGCCCGCAAAGGGUCGGGGCUUUUUGCCCACGUAACGUGCUUUGGAUGCUGGCAUAAUGGCUUGAACCGACCCGUCUUGAAACACGGACCAAGGAGUCUAACAUGCCUGCGAGUGUUUGGGUGGCAAACUCGAGCGCGAAGUGAAAGUGAAACUUGUCGAGAUCUCUGUCGUGGGGAGCACCGACGCCCGGACCUGACCUUUUGUGAAGGAUCCGCGGUUGAGCAUGCAUGUUGGGACCCGAAA
rnacentral:rRNA from 1 species